rnacentral:rRNA from 1 species
AGCAGUCGCCGCGGGAAUACAGAGGGUGCGAGCGUUAAUCGGAUUUACUGGGCGUAAAGCGUGCGUAGGCGGCCUCUUAAGUCGGAUGUGAAAUCCCUGAGCUUAACUUAGGAAUUGCAUUCGAUACUGGGAAGCUAGAGUAUGGGAGAGGAUGGUAGAAUUCCAGGUGUAGCGGUGAAAUGCGUAGAGAUCUGGAGGAAUACCGAUGGCGAAGGCAGCCAUCUGGCCUAAUACUGACGCUGAGGUACGAAAGCAUGGGGAGCAAACAGGAUUAGAGACCCCUGUAGUCCCUGUCUCUUAUAC